rnacentral:rRNA from 1 species
ACGGGGUGCAGCAGGCGCGAAAACUGGCCAAUGCGCGAAAGCGUGAGCCGGCAAAUCCAAGUGAUGACCCAUCGGUUAUCUUUUGUGAAGUGUACAAAGCUUCAAGAAUAAUGAGAGGGCAAGACUGGUGCCAGCCGCCGCGGUAAAACCAGCUCUUAGAGUGGUGGGCAUGAUUAUUUGGCUUAAAGUGAGCGUAGCCGGACAGCGUAAGUCCCCCGUGAAAUGCCAGGUCUUAAGCCUGGCGCGGGCGGGGGAUACUGCGCGUCUUGGGACCGGGAUAGGUAUAAGGUAUGCACUGGGUAGGGGUGAAAUCCGAUAAUCCAGCGCAGACCACCGGUGGCGAAGGCGUUAUACUGGAACGGGUCCGACGGUGAGGCUCGAAAGCUAGGGUCGCGAGCCGGAUUAGAUACCCGGGUAGUCCUAUGCUGUAAACGAUGCGCACUAAGUGUUAGGUAACGCAAGACGUUAUCUAGUGCCGAAGGGAAACCGUUAAGUGCGCCGCCUGGGAAGUACGUUCGCAAGAA